rnacentral:lncRNA from 1 species
AACAACUGUCAACUGUAUUGAAGAAUUAAUGCUUCAUUAGGGCAGUACUACAGGUUCACUGAUACAGAAAUAUUUCAAGGCCCUGCAAUCUAGUCAGAAACAAUUGUCAAUGAAGUUAUCCUCUGUGAGGCCAACGGCUAUCACCUAUGCCUUUUAAGAUGUGACGAGUAUUCCAUCGAACAAGGGUUCAUACGGGCAUUCCACUGAUUCAUUUACUCAGGAAGUACAGUGGAAAAAGCGUUUGGGUACAUUUACAGGACGCAAAUCUUUGAGCCGCGAUAUUCUUCAAGUGGGAACAGCCAGAGAUCACAGACUAUUUUUAAUAAUAUACUGACAGUA